UCUAGCCAUGACAUAAUUGUAAAGGAUAUUCUGGGUGAAUGAGAGAUUUUGGCAGUGUAAUCUUGAGGAAAAUGGUGUAAAUCUCGGGCAUAUAAUGACUGGAUCAGCAAAUAAUAAUCAAACUGUCAAUGGCAUAGGCUUAUAGAAAGAAGAAAAUCUAUCAAGGUUUCUUCAAAUCAACAAAACAGAUCCAAGAUACAUCAUAUGCUCUUGUUUAGGUGGAAACAAUACCAUCAGAUGCUGAUUUAUAUGCUUUGAUGUUGUCUGUUGGUUAUGAGGUGAAGUAAGGGUAAAGUUUGAUGCAUUCGAACCGGAAAGAUGGUUUCAUCACAUUGUUGCUUUCAUCCACAAAGCAUCUUUAAGUUUACAGCUUUGCAGAAACACAAGCGGGACAAAGAAUUUAUUUGGCUCAAGAAUCUGCAGUUGAUCCAUGAUCUAGCACACUCGUAUUUGGUGCGACUAGACACACGGAAGUGGACUGGAAAAUGGUUCAAGCUAAAAAGGGCAUAACUUUCAUUACGUUUGAACUUACACGGGGAUAAGUAAUGGACACAAAUGCCUCAACGAGCCACAUGAAUGGACAAAUGCUAUAGGCGGGUUUUCUGACUCUCGGCACCCAAUUUCGACAUCUAGAACUCCAAUUUUGAACUCAA